rnacentral:rRNA from 1 species
GGCGGCGUGCCUAACACAUGCAAGUCGAACGCGAAAGUCCCGCAAGGGAUGAGUAGAGUGGCAAACGGGUGAGUAACACGUGGGUGACCUGCCUUCGAGCGGGGGAUAACGUCCCGAAAGGGACGCUAAUACCGCAUAACAUCCUGCCUUUUAAGAGGUGGAGAUCAAAGCCGGGGAUCGCAGGACCUGGCACUUGAAGAGGGGCCCGCGCCUGAUUAGCUAGUUGGUGGGGUAAUGGCUCACCAAGGCAACGAUCAGUAUCCGGCCUGAGAGGGCGGACGGACACACUGGGACUGAGACACGGCCCAGACUCCUACGGGAGGCAGCAGUGGGGAAUUGUUCGCAAUGGGCGCAAGCCUGACGACGCAACGCCGCGUGGAGGAUGAAGACCUUCGGGUCGUAAACUCCUUUCGAUCGAGACGAAUGGUUUCCGGGUGAAUAAUCCGGAAAAGUGACGGUACCGAGAGAA